rnacentral:rRNA from 1 species
AUUGAACGCUGGCGGCAGGCCUAACACAUGCAAGUCGAGCGGAUGAAGGGAGCUUGCUCCUGGAUUCAGCGGCGGACGGGUGAGUAAUGCCUAUGAAUCUGCCUGGUAGUGGGGGAUAACGUCCGGAAACGGGCGCUAAUACCGCAUACGGCCUGAGGGAGAAAGGGGGGGAUCUUCGGACCUCACGCUAUCAGAUGAGCCUAGGUCGGAUUAGCUAGUUGGUGGGGUAAAGGCCUACCAAGGCGACGAUCCGUAACUGGUCUGAGAGGAUGAUCAGUCACAUUGGAACUGAGACACGGUACAGACUCCUACGGGAGGCAGCAGUGGGGAAUAUUGGACAAUGGGGGAAAGCCUGAUCCAGCCCUGCCGCGUGUGUGAAGAAGGUCUUCGGAUUGUAAAGCAAUUUAAGUUGGGAGGAAGGGCAGUAAGUUAAUACCUUGCUGUUUUGACGUUACCAACAGAAUAAGCACCGGCUAACUUCGUG